GUGCGGCCCAGGAUCCAGGCGAAGUCCACGUGAAAAACCCUCAGGAUGUCAGUGCAGGAGUAAACCAGUGCCGAUUUGUCAUAGUCGGUCAAUAUAAUCCAGUACGGGGAGUAAGAGAACAGCAUCAUGUUAGCAGUGUAGUUCCUGACACAGUAUGUUGAACCCACAGAAGAGCUCUGAUUCCUUGGAAUGAUUUCAAAGAUCUGCACUGAAUGUCAGCAAGACUACAGAGCUCAUUGUGGGCUUCAGGAGCCACCGAGGCACCCACUCCCCCAUCAGCCUAGACGGGACGCCGGUGGAAAUCGUCAGUUGCUUCCGUUUCCUGGGACUACACAUCUCCGACGACCUAGCGUGGACCCACAACACAGAGGUCAUGCUCAAGAAGGCACACCAGAGCCUCUACCCCCUACGGUGCCUCAGGAAAUGCGGCAUAAGCACCCGAUGGCUUGUGAACUUUUACCACGGCACUAUAGAGAGCGUCCUAACGGGUGGUGUCACUGUGUGGUAUGGCAAUACCACUGCACAGGACAGGAAAGCCAUCCAGAGGGUCGUGAGGACAGCGGAAAAGAUCAUCGGGUGUGCACUUCCAUCCAUCGAGGAGAUCUUUAGGAUCAGGUGUCGGAACAAGGCCAACUCCAUCAUACAGGACCACAACCACCCUGGGCACCAACUGUUCUCCCCCCUGCAGUCUGGUCACCGGUACCGCAGCAUCCGAACCAGGACAAGCAUGUUCAAGAACAGUUUCUAUUCACAGGCAGUGCGCCUACUGAACUGUUAAGCGCUCAAUUAGGCUAUUGGACUUAUGAUUGCACUAGGCACCCUAUACAGCACGCAGGCACUCUCACUGUACUGUACUGCACUUGUCAUUUUAUAACAUUCUUGCGUCAUCUGCUAGAUUGUUGAAUCAGGAGUGCUGCUAUUACCAUAAUUAUAUUGUUGCAUAAAUAUUACAGUUUGGGCCAUUACAACCUUAUUGUAUUUAUUAUUUAUUAAGCUGCUAUCGUUACUGUACUGCACUUGGUCACUUUACCACUUUUCUGCACCACCCGCCAUAAUGUGCCAUAGUCUUGAAAAGUCUUACUCAGUUCUGUACUUAUUCUGUACUUAUUGUGUACGUACUUACUUUUUAUCUAUUGUUUGAAAUCUACGUAUAUAAUUUAUACUGCAGGAGUGAAUGGGGAGUAAGUAUUCCAUUGUACUUGUUACAAAUGGCAAUAAAGAAUCUUGAAUCUUGAA